rnacentral:rRNA from 1 species
CCUACGGGAGGCAGCAGUGGGGAAUAUUGGACAAUGGGCGAAAGCCUGAUCCAGCCAUGCCGCGUGUGUGAAGAAGGCCUUCGGGUUGUAAAGCACUUUCAGUGGGGAAGAAAGCCUUGGGGCUAAUACCCUCGAGGAAGGACAUCACCCACAGAAGAAGCACCGGCUAACUCCGUGCCAGCAGCCGCGGUAAUACGGAGGGUGCGAGCGUUAAUCGGAAUUACUGGGCGUAAAGCGCGCGUAGGCGGUCUGAUAAGCCGGUUGUGAAAGCCCCGGGCUCAACCUGGGAACGGCAUCCGGAACUGUCAGGCUAGAGUGCAGGAGAGGAAGGUAGAAUUCCCGGUGUAGCGGUGAAAUGCGUAGAGAUCGGGAGGAAUACCAGUGGCGAAGGCGGCCUUCUGGACUGACACUGACGCUGAGGUGCGAAAGCGUGGGUAGCAAACAGGAUUAGAGACCCGAGUAGUC